ACACUUCCCUCAAGGGCUCUGCUACAGCCAGCCUUGUUUCAUAUGGUAUCUUCCUGUUUCAGUUUAAUUAUGUAUAAAAACGUGUGUCCUUCACAUCAGACCUUUCAGAGCAUAAGGAAACUGUCAGCCCUUUCUCAUAAAUCCUAUGUCACUGCUAUGUAGCUCCUUAUGUUUCUGUAAGUGUAUACAAUCAAAACAGUAGGUGCCUUCCCUGCCCAAACACAGCCCAGCACUGUCUGAAGGACCAGCUAGAGCAAGAGAGGCUAAGAAAUCCCUUUUACCUGACCACAUAAGAGCCUUUUGGCUGCUGGGCUUUUUCCAUACCACCUUUGUGCUCCCAUAGCACUUGGUAGCACUGAACAAUCUAACCCUAUAUAAGAUGUUAAAGCAGCACACAACCUCCAUCUAUAGCAGUAUCCUUGUGGGUUUUUUUCAUCUGGAGGAAGGAAGGAGCUCCUAUGCUGACUGUCUUGGCAAACUGACCAACAAGCUCCUCUCAGAUCCCAUGAAUCACGUCUUCUGCCUCUGGAUGCACAGAGCCAAUGUUAAAGCCUUUGUCUGUCUCAUCUGAUAGGUGUAGGAUUAACAGUGUUUCCCUUGUCUGCUCUCUGUCAGGAAUAGGACAUGUGGUAAGUGUCCUUUGCUGGACAAAUUCCACCUUGGUAAUGCCACUCGAGGGUGAAAGCUCUCUUGUGGCAAGGGGAGAGGCCAAGGUUGUGUUGCCAGGAUUCCAUGUAUGUGCCAGAAAAGAUAUAGAAAAGCUCCACAUAAAAUACAAAGCUCCAUCUGAGGUAAAAUAUAAGCAGAGGAGGCUGGUUUGGACAAAACUCAGCCUAGUUCAUCUGGGGUAAAAUGAAUGUUUAUUGAAGACUACUCGGGACAGUCACAGUGGACAGACGCUACAUAAGGCCUCGCUCACCCUUAGCACGAGCCCAUUGCUCCAGUGGAGCGUGUAACAGGCGGCUGCUGUCGCUGCCAGCGUGCAAUGGAGAUGCCCUGGCACAGGGAGACUGGGGUUGUACAAAGCACUGACUGCAGCUGCCUGUCUCCUGCCCCCAGGGACUCGCCACGUAACCUGUACUCGCUCUCACGCACGGCUGUAGGCGGGAACAGGCUCUGGCUCCACAUUCCAAGUCAGUUCUAUGUACAGUGGUAAGAGCACUUGAAAUAGAGAGGCAGCAGCUGCUCUACAUUCAGCCAGAAGGCCUGCUGAAGAGAUGGUUGUCAAGGUGUGGUCUGAGAGAGAUCUUAUUCCACUGGAAGAUCAGAUGAGGCUUGAAGGCAAGGAAGAGCUGAAAUCAGGUGCCUUUGUGCGCUCUCUCUUCAACAUACAGCUGCAUCUGGAGGAGAGAAACCAGCAUCAGGUCUCUUUCAUAUGCAGCCUCCCGGGUGUGAACCAGAACUGUGAAGGUGCAACCUGCCAGAGAAGUGGUCCAGCUCAGAGGACAAUGAAGAGCACACCAGACACUACCUGUUGUCCCAGGUGCAGCAAUGAGAUGCUCCAGGGCUGUGUGGAUGUGUUUACCUGGGGGGUUGUUGUCCAGCACUGCGUCGCACACGCUGAUCUUCAGGAUGAAGGCACGCAGUAACUGCUCCACAUGGGACAGCAGGGACUCCGAGCUGGGGAGGAGACAGCAAUUCCUUACUGGCCUGCAGGCAACUGCUGGGGCCUGGAGCUGCUCUGCAGAGGGCUGUGGGAGGAUGGGGCAGGGAGGGAAGCAGUACCUGAUGGAAAGCAGGGGUGGCUGGGUGAUCUCAAAGACAAACCUCUCCACUGGAUGGUGCUCUUUGUCCAGGAUGACCACCACGACUUUCUCCACAUCGUUCUACCAGAACAAAGAUCCAAAACCCCCUCCCUUGAAACCAGUUGUCUUCUGCCCCCCUCGUGUGCUCCACCUGCUGCUGCUGAAGCAGGAGGACACUGAUCUGUUGUGGCUCACAGCAGUUACCCACAGCUUGAGCUGUCAUGUUAUUUCUACCCAUCAGAAAAAGAUUGCAAAGCUAUUUCUUGCUAGAUGCUGAACUGACAGCUGAUUGCUAAGGCCUAGGGAGAUGAAGUGCACUAAAUGCAAUGUUUCUCUAGAUACAUUUUGGAACAAAUGGGGAAAUGUACAGCAUCACUCAGGAAUGGACAGUGAUGAGGAAGUUGAUGGGCUGAGCCCCUAUAUAUAGCCAUUUUGUAGUACCACAGUGUAAAACUGCCCUGUUUCCAUUCUCUACAUGUGCAUUAAAGUUGUCUGUAAAUAGCAGAGAAUGCAAAGUCAGCCAGCAUCCUGCAUCCCGUAAUGUUUCACGUGGCCACACCUUUCUCUGGCACAGCCUACAGUUCAACCAUACCCUUGCUUGCUCCCUUCCAGCAAAGCAUUCACACCCUUCUGCCAGAUGAAUGCUUCCCAAGGUUUAAGCAGAACACUGACACGUAGGAUGAUGUAACUGAAUCUGUAUCAACCUCUAUCCCUAUGUGCAUGUAUUAGAUGCAGCUAAACACCAAUGAUCAGCAGCAAGGCAGGGCUUGAACUGCAAGACAAGGUUGUGGAUGUUAUUUUUCUGUCAGCUGGUAUAUUGUACAUGGUAAAUUUGUAAAUAAAUGGUGCAAUGAA